rnacentral:rRNA from 1 species
UACGUAGGCAGCGAGCGUUGUUCGGAGUUACUGGGCGUAAAGGGUGUGUAGGCGGUCUUCUAAGUCUGGUGUGAAAUCUCCCGGCUCAACUGGGAGGGUGCGCCGGAAACUGGGAGGCUAGGGUGUGGGAUGGGAGAGUGGAAUUCCUGGUGUAGCGGUGAAAUGCGUAGAUAUCAGGAGGAACACCUGUGGUGUAGACGGCUCUCUGGACCGCAACUGACGCUGAGACACGAAAGCGUGGGUAGCAAACAGG